rnacentral:rRNA from 1 species
GACGAACGCUGGCGGCGUGCCUAAUACAUGCAAGUUGAGCGCUGAAGGUUGGUACUUGUACCAACUGGAUGAGCAGCGAACGGGUGAGUAACGCGUGGGGAAUCUGCCUUUGAGCGGGGGACAACAUUUGGAAACGAAUGCUAAUACCGCAUAAAAACUUUAAACACAAGUUUUAAGUUUGAAAGAUGCAAUUGCAUCACUCAAAGAUGAUCCCGCGUUGUAUUAGCUAGUUGGUGAGGUAAAGGCUCACCAAGGCGAUGAUACAUAGCCGACCUGAGAGGGUGAUCGGCCACAAUGGGACUGAGACACGGCCCAAACUCCUACGGGAGGCAGCAGGAGGGAAUCUUCGGCAAUGGACGGAAGUCUGACCGAGCAACGCCGCGGGAGGGAAGAAGGGUUUCGGAUCGUAAAACUCUGUUGGUAGAGAAGAACGUUGGUGAGAGUGGAAAGCUCAUCAAGUGACGGUAACUACCCAGAAGGGGACGGCUAACUACGUG